UAGAUAUUAGAAAAAAACUGUAACAAGAGAUGAAGAAGGGCAUUAUAACAUAAUUAAGGGGUCUUUCCACCAAGAACAUCUAACAAUUGCAAAUAUUUAUGCCCCAAUUGCAAAUA